GACGAACGCUGGCGGCGUGCCUAAUACAUGCCAGUAGAACGCACAGUUUAUACCGUAGCUUGCUACACCAUAAACUGUGAGUUGCGAACGGGUGAGUAACGCGUAGGUAACCUGCCUGGUAGCGGGGGAUAACUAUUGGAAACGAUAGCUAAUACCGCAUAAUAUUGAUUAUUGCAUGAUAAUUGAUUGAAAGAUGCUAUUGCAUCACUACCAGAUGGACCUGCGUUGUAUUAGCUAGUAGGUGAGGUAACGGCUCACCUAGGCGACGAUACAUAGCCGACCUGAGAGGGUGAUCGGCCACACUGGGACUGAGACACGGCCCAGACGCCUACGGGAGGCAGCAGUAGGGAAUCUUCGGCAAUGGACGAAAGUCUGACCGAGCAACGCCGCGUGAGUGAAGAAGGUUUUCGGAUCGUAAAGCUCUGUUGUAAGAGAAGAACGGGUGUGAGAGUGGAAAGUUCACACUGUGACGGUAUCUUACCAGAAAGGGACGGCUAACUACGUG
rnacentral:rRNA from 1 species